rfam:Microgenomates (Woesebacteria) bacterium GW2011_GWB1_40_101 TT72_C0024, whole genome shotgun sequence.
UGCCCGGUGGUGUAAUGGUAGCACGCGUCCCUCUGGAGGAUGAGAUCGGGGUUCGAAUCCCUGCUGGGCAG